UUAUUUGAAAUGUAAAUUUGAUUUAGCUGGGAUUAUUGUGAGUUAAGAUCUUUAAAAUUAAAAAAUUUGGCGGUAUUUUAGUCUAUUCAGAGGAACCUGUUUUUUAAUUGAUAGUCCACGAUAAUUAUAACUUUAAUUUUUAAUUUGCAUAUCGUCGUUUAUAAAGAUUUUAGGAGAAUUUUAAUCUUUAAGAUUUUUUAUUUUGAAGAAGUUCAGAUCAAGGUGUAGUUUAUAUUGAAGGUAAAAUGGGUUACAAUGAAUUUAUUUUUGGAUUUUGAUUUGAAAAAUCGUUUGAAAAUGGAUUUGAUAGUAAAUUCUUUAUUUUUGGGAAUUGAUUUAGCUCUAAAAUAUGC
rnacentral:rRNA from 1 species